AGGAGGGCUUCUCGAACUCGGGGUCUCCUCUUGAAUGUCUCGAAGACUUGAUGACUGACGGAGACUUCUUGAAUGCUGGGAAGAGUUGGUUGGAUGGAGUUUAAUGCCUCUCUUCCUUCUUUCACGUGUAUUCCCUUUGAAAUCCUUUGGUAGGUGGAGAUUACUUGUUUUCUUUGAAUGGAAUGUCACUUCUCUACCUUGCUACAGUUCUCUGUGGCUAUUUAAGCCAUUCCCCACGAAAACUAGCCGUUAGACCCAAUAUUCUAGCCGUUCUGCACAUUCUGCAACUCCUGACAAUGUUU
rnacentral:lncRNA from 1 species